rnacentral:rRNA from 1 species
GAGUUUGAUUCUGGCUCAGGAUGAACGCUGGCGGCGUGCUUAACACAUGCAAGUCGAACGGAACGUAACCGAGGAAAUUUUUCGAAGUGGAAUCGGUUACGUUUAGUGGCGGACGGGUGCGUAACACGUGGGCAACCUGCCCUGCUUUUCGGAAUAACGCCGGGAAACCGUCGCUAAUGCCGAAUGAUAUGAGAAGAAGGCAUCUUCUUUUCAUCAAAGAAUUUCGAAGCAGGAUGGGCCCGCGCCGGAUUAGCUGGUUGGUGAGGUAACGGCUCACCAAGGCGACGAUCCGUAGCCGACCUGAGAGGGUGAUCGGCCACACUGGAACUGAGACACGGUCCAGACUCCUACGGGAGGCAGCAGUGGGGAAUAUUGCACAAUGGGCGAAAGCCUGAUGCAGCAACGCCGCGUGAGCGAUGAAGGCUUUCGAGUCGUAAAGCUCUGUCGCAGGGGAAGAAAAAGACGUACCCUGGAGAAAGCCCC